GAACGCUGGCGGCAUGCCUUACACAUGCAAGUCGAACGGUAGGAGGGGGCCAACCCCUUGAGAGUGGACGAACGGGUGAGUAAUAUAUCGGGAACGUGCCCAGUCGGUGGGGGAUAACGUAGCGAAAGUUACGCUAAUACCGCAUACGAUCUAUGGAUGAAAGCGGGGGACCGUAAGGCCUCGCGCGAUUGGAGCGGCCGAUAUCAGAUUAGGUAGUUGGGUGGGGUAAAGGCUCACCAAGCCAACGAUCUGUAGCUGGUCUGAGAGGACGACUAGCCACACUGGAACUGAGACACGGUCCAGACUCCUACGGGAGGCAGCAGGUGGGGAAUCUUAGACAAGUGGGGGAAACCCCUGAUCUAGCCAUGCCGCGUGAUCGAUGAAGGCCUUAGGGUUGUAAAGAUCUUUCAGUGGGGAAGAUAAUGACUGUACCCACAGAAGAAGCCCCGGCUAACUCCGUG
rnacentral:rRNA from 1 species